rnacentral:rRNA from 1 species
AGUGAACGCUGGCGGUAGGCCUAACACAUGCAAGUCGAACGGCAGCACAGUAAGAGCUUGCUCUUACGGGUGGCGAGUGGCGGACGGGUGAGGAAUACAUCGGAAUCUACUUUUUCGUGGGGGAUAACGUAGGGAAACUUACGCUAAUACCGCAUACGACCUACGGGUGAAAGCAGGGGAUCUUCGGACCUUGCGCGAUUGAAUGAGCCGAUGUCGGAUUAGCUAGUUGGCGGGGUAAAGGCCCACCAAGGCGACGAUCCGUAGCUGGUCUGAGAGGAUGAGACGCCACACUGGAACUGAGACACCGUCCAGACUCCUACGGGAGGCAGCAGUGGGGAAUAUUGGACAAUGGGCGCAAGCCUGAUCCAGCCAUACCGCGUGGGUGAAGAAGGCCUUCGGGUUGUAAAGCCCUUUUGUUGGGAAAGAAAAGCAGCAGGUUAAUACCCCGCUGUUCUGACGGUACCCAAAGAAUAAGCACCGGCUAACUUCGUG